CCUGGAUACUCCUACGGGAGGCAGCAGUAGGGAAUCUUCGGCAAUGGACGGAAGUCUGACCGAGCAACGCCGCGUGAGUGAAGAAGGUUUUCGGAUCGUAAAGCUCUGUUGUAAGAGAAGAACGAGUGUGAGAGUGGAAAGUUCACACUGUGACGGUAUCUUACCAGAAAGGGACGGCUAACUACGUGCCAGCAGCCGCGGUAAUACGUAGGUCCCGAGCGUGGUCCGGAUUUAUUGGGCGUAAAGCGAGCGGCGGCGGGUAGAUAAGUCUGAAGUUAAAGGCUGUGGCUUAAACAUAGUACGCGUUGGAAACUGUUUAACUUGAGUGCAAGAGGGGAGGGUGGAAUUCCAUGUGUAGCGGUGAAAUGCGUAGAUAUAUGGAGGAACACCGGUGGCGAAAGCGGCUCUCUGGCUUGUAACUGACGCUGAGGCUCGAAAGCGUGGGGAGCAAACAGGAUUAGAUACCCUUGUAGUCCUAG
rnacentral:rRNA from 1 species